CCCAACUAUCCCUAUUAAUCAUUACGUCAAUCCUAGAAACCAACAAAAUAGGAUCGAACGUCCUAUUUCAUUAUUCCAUGCUAAUGUAUUCAAGCGUUAGCUUGCUUUAAACACUCUAAUUUUUUCAAAGUAACAGUCCAAAUUCCCCGCAACACCAAAUUAAUGACAUCAUGGUUCUUCAGAAGGGAGAAAUCAAUAAUACCAGUACAUACCUAAGCAUGACCGAUAUAUUGAUCCCGAAAUUCAACUACGAGCUUUUUAACUGCAACAACUUUAAUAUACGCUAUUGGAGCUGGAAUUACCGCGGCUGCUGGCACCAGACUUGCCCUCCAA
rnacentral:misc_RNA from 1 species